rnacentral:lncRNA from 1 species
CCCUACGCUCGGGCCCACCCUCGGCUCGGCUCCAGGGCGCCCUCUGCUCGUCGUCUCCUCUCCGCCCCGCCUUCCCCCUAUCCAGGCACGCGCGCGCGCGUCCCCAGCCUCGCUCCUGUGCUCGCGGGAGCGCGCGCCUUGUGCUUCCCGCUCCCUCCUCUGCCCAGCGGGCCUUCCGGCUUCGCGGACCAGGGCGGCCAGGUCAGAAUACCUCCCCCUGCUGGCAGGAAAAGCCUUGAGACCCAACUCCCCAAAGUAAGAAGGAGUGUCAGCUAGGACCGGAGAAUCCCGGCUGUACUGCCGGAGCUGGACGAGGUUGUCGGAGGCCAGGCGUGAUGGCCGGGAGCCAGGCGCGGUUGUGGUCUUCGGAGACCUGGACCCUCCGGCUCAAGGAAGACUCUAGGUUCGUGCCCCUGAAGUGGGCAACCUCUGGCCUGAGCGGGACCCGCCUGGCACCGGGAGUUGACUACUAGGACCCGCCCCAGGGACGCUGUACCCCCGGAUUACAUCCCCAGAGCUUUUUAUUUUUUAUUUUGAGACGGUGCCUUGCUAAAUUGCCUAGGCUAUUUCCUAUCUUCCUGCCUCGGCCUCCUGAGCAGCCGGGAUUACAGGCGUGCAUCACCGCGCUGGGACAUUUUCAUUUUAUUUUAUUUGUUUGUCGUACUGGGGAUUGAACCCAGGGGCCCCCUACCGCUAAGCUACAUCUCCAGCCCUUUUUAUUUGGAGACCGGGUUUUGCUGAGUCUGGCCUCAAACUUGUGAUCCUCCUACCUCAGCCUCCAGAGCCUCUGGGAUUACAGGCCCAUGCCGCCACGCCCAGCCACAUUUUCAUUUUUGCGUAAUUUUGGUUUAAGUUUUUUUUUACCUAGUGGUCUGAUAUUUAAUUUACAUUAAACUUUCAUUACACAUGUGUAGUAUGGCCAUUAUAUUACCAGCAUUUUAUGAGAUUACUCAUUCAUACGUCCCAAAGCAGGGGAGGGGGCGGCUUCUGGGAAGGACUCAUUACUCUUACUCAUUUUCCAGAUGAAAGUAUAACCAAUAGUGGUAUCACAGUUUCACAGUGAGGAAACAUUUGCACCAAAUCUCUUUCCUCUAGUCUGAGCAAAAAUAAAUACAUGUGUGUGUAUUUGUAUAAUAACUAUAUAGUAUAUAUAUAUAUAUACAUAUAACAUAUGUAACAUGAUAUUUUGCUUGCUUUUUUUUUUCUCCUUUAGUCUGUCUGAUUCUAAAAUUGAAUGAUUUUUCAGUUCACAUAUCACCAAAAUGUGAGCCACCUAAGCCCUAUCUUCAACCAAGCUUGCAACCUCCUUAAGAAUGAAGGGGGCACUUCCUCUCCCCAUUUGAAAAGUAAAAGGAGCCUCAAGCAUGCAAUCUUAUGUUCUGCUUAAGUAGGUGCUACUAAUAAGAUUUACUCAUCCAGUCAGUAUUUACUGAAUUUUUACUAUCUGCUGAUACUGUAAUGAUGUGCAAAAUCAGUUUCCAUCAUUGAUGACUGAAUGGAUUGCUCAGUCAGUGUUUAUGAGGUUUUGUUUGUUUUUGUUUUGGUAGAAAACAAUUUUCAAAUAGGUAAGUUAUCUAAUUCAGUGCAGUCAUUUAAAAAAUUUUUUUUCUAGUUGUAGGUGGACACAAUACCUUUAUUUUAUUUAUUUUUAUGUGGCGCUGAGGAUCGAACCCAGUGCCUCACACAUGCUAGGCACGCACUCUAUCACUUAGUCACAACCCCAGCCCUGCAUCGACAUUUUUAAAGUACUACACCUAACCAAAAUGACAAGCGUAUUUUGUUU